AUGAACGUGAGAGCACACACACAAAAGCGCAAGAAAAUGGGGAAGGGGAAGUUCAUCCAUCGCCUUCUGACAAGCAAGGGUGAAAAACAAUGCGGCAAGAAGAAAAGAGAGACGGAGCUGCAGAGACUGCAGAGAAGGAUCCGAGAGGUAAACAGCAAGAAGUCCUCUAUUCGACACGUCUGCCACCCUCCCCUUGGGGCCCCGCAGAGGCCCACACCAGUCCCCAUCCUUCCCUACCCCACACCACGCACAGUCUCCCCGGGCAUCCCUCUGUCCCCGGUCUCCCCUCCCGGGCCACCGCACUUCAAGCAGUGGCCUGUGUCACUAGCAGGCCUCUUUGGGCCACUCACCGUUUGCCCCGCUCUUCCCUGCGGCGCGGGUUGGGGCAGAGAAGACCUGCUCGCAGGGGGCAGCGUCAGUUCCCUAAGGGAAGGCGCCUCUCAGGUGAGAAGGGACUGGGCGGCCGACGACGCUGGGGACGUGGAAAGUCGCAGGCAGACGGGGUGGGAGGGGGGAUGCGGGGGGAGUGGGGGCGUCCCGGGAGCUGAUUGGUGGCCGCAGCGCUGGGGCGGAGCCUGGCCCGCAGCCGCUGGACCGCAGAGGCCUCGCUUUGUAUCAGUUUCUGCAGGAAGAUGCGGCCCCAAAUCCGGGGCAGAGACCCCAGCACCCGUCCAGAGAGUGCGGCUGGGCAAUUUGUUGAAAAAUAAAUCUGAGAGUAUUCAUGAACAAGUGAGCAGUUGACAUAUUAUAAUAUAUUUUUCUGUAAACAGUGCACACUUAUUUCUAAGGACGAAUUUAAUCUAUGGGUCCUAGAUACAUUUUUUAAUUAAAAGCAUCAAGUUGCAUUAGAAUGGAGCAUACGAUUACAAGAAAAUCUUGCAUCGCUUAUAUGAAGGGCGGGGAUAAGAGUGAAGAAGUUGGCAAUUGAUAUCUUCAUAACCAUUGAAUUAUUUUAAAGUAGCCCAUGUUUUGUUUUAUAAGUCACAUAAAACACGAAGGUGUCAACAAUUUUACUAACCAACAAAUAGGUGACAGAUAUUGGGCAUGAGAGAGAGAAAGAAAGGUGUGGCUACUAAAAACCUAGACUCUGUAUCGACUGCCGCUUACCAGCUGGGGAGUGCAUUUGCUUUCUGGGGCCUCAGUAAGAAACGACCACAAAUCAGGGGACUUGAAACAGUACAUUUAUUAUCUGACACUUCUGUAGGUCAGGAGCCCACUGGCUAAGAUCCAGGUGUAACAGGGGUGUGUUUUCUGGAGGCUCUAGGGGUAGAAUCCACUUCCUUGCCUUUUUCAGCUCCUGGAGGCUGCCCAAAUUCGUUGCCUUUUGGGCCCCAUCUCCAAAGCCGACCAUCUCACCGCCUGAAUCUCUGCCUGUGUCUGCAUAUUUCUUUGCUUCUGUUUCACUUCUUUCUGAGCGAGUGUGACCUGUUCCCUUUCCGUCCUGGACCCAGCAGGCCACCGUCAAUUCUAAAUCCCACCUCCUUUUUUUUUUUUUUUUUUUCAACAAUUAUUUUUUUUUUUUUUUUUUUUUUUUUGGGACAGAGAGAGACAGAGCAUGAAUGGGGGAGGGGCAGAGAGAGAGGGAGACACAGAAUCGGAAACAGGCUCCAGGCUCUGAGCCAUCAGCCCAGAGCCUGCCACGGGGCUCGAACUCACGGACCGCGAGAUCGUGACCUGGUUGAAG
ensembl:lncRNA